UACGGGGGGAGCAAGCGUUGUUCGGAAUCACUGGGCGUAAAGGGCGUGUAGGCGGUUCGGUAAGUGGGAUGUGAAAUCCCCGGGCUCACCCCGGGACCUGCAUCCCAUACUGCUGAGCUUGAGUACAGGAGAGGGUGGGGGAAUUCCUGGUGUAGCGGUGAAAUGCGUAGAUAUCAGGAGGAACACCGGUGGCGAAGGCGCCCACCUGGCCUGCUACUGACGCUGAUGCGCGAAAGCUAGGGGAGCAAACGGG
rnacentral:rRNA from 1 species